AGACCCGAAACCCGGUGAUCUAGCCAUGGGCAGGUUGAAGGUUGGGUAACACUAACUGGAGGACCGAACCGACUAAUGUUGAAAAAUUAGCGGAUGACCUGUGGCUGGGGGUGAAAGGCCAAUCAAACCGGGAGAUAGCUGGUUCUCCCCGAAAGCUAUUUAGGUAGCGCCUCGUGAACUCAUCUCCGGGGGUAGAGCACUGUUUCGGCUAGGGGGCCAUCCCGGCUUACCAACCCGAUGCAAACUGCGAAUACCGGAGAAUGUUAUCACGGGAGACACACGGCGGGUGCUAACGUCCGUCGUGAAGAGGGAAACAACCCAGACCGCCAGCUAAGGUCCCAAAGUCAUGGUUAAGUGGGAAACGAUGUGGGAAGGCCCAGACAGCCAGGAUGUUGGCUUAGAAGCAGCCAUCAUUUAAAGAAAGCGUAAUAGCUCACUGGUCGAGUCGGCCUGCGCGGAAGAUGUAACGGGGCUAAACCAUGCACCGAAGCUGCGGCAGCGACACUAUGUGUUGUUGGGUAGGGGAGCGUUCUGUAAGCCUGCGAAGGUGUGCUGUGAGGCAUGCUGGAGGUAUCAGAAGUGCGAAUGCUGACAUAAGUAACGAUAAAGCGGGUGAAAAGCCCGCUCGCCGGAAGACCAAGGGUUCCUGUCCAACGUUAAUCGGGGCAGGGUGAGUCGACCCCUAAGGCGAGGCCGAAAGGCGUAGUCGAUGGGAAACAGGUUAAUAUUCCUGUACUUGGUGUUACUGCGAAGGGGGGACGGAGAAGGCUAUGUCGGCCGGGCGACGGUUGUCCCGGUUUAAGCGUGUAGGCUGACUUUCCAGGCAAAUCCGGAAGGUUAAGGCUGAGGCGUGAUGACGAGGCACUACGGUGCUGAAGUGACAAAUGCCCUGCUUCCAGGAAAAGCCUCUAAGCAUCAGGUAACAUCAAAUCGUACCCCAAACCGACACAGGUGGUCAGGUAGAGAAUACCAAGGCGCUUGAGAGAACUCGGGUGAAGGAACUAGGCAAAAUGGUGCCGUAACUUCGGGAGAAGGCACGCUGACAUGUAGGUGAAGCCCCUGCGGGUGGAGCUGAAGUCAGUCGAAGAUACCAGCUGGCUGCAACUGUUUAUUAAAAACACAGCACUGUGCAAACACGAAAGUGGACGUAUACGGUGUGACGCCUGCCCGGUGCCGGAAGGUUAAUUGAUGGGGUUAUCGCAAGAGAAGCUCCUGAUCGAAGCCCCGGUAAACGGCGGCCGUAACUAUAACGGUCCUAAGGUAGCGAAAUUCCUUGUCGGGUAAGUUCCGACCUGCACGAAUGGCGUAAUGAUGGCCAGGCUGUCUCCACCCGAGACUCAGUGAAAUUGAACUCGCUGUGAAGAUGCAGUGUACCCGCGGCAAGACGGAAAGACCCCGUGAACCUUUACUACAGCUUGACACUGAACAUUGAGCCUUGAUGUGUAGGAUAGGUGGGAGGCUUUGAAGCGUGGACGCCAGUCUGCGUGGAGCCAACCUUGAAAUACCACCCUUUAAUGU
rnacentral:rRNA from 1 species